UAAAACAUGGUGUUAAUGCAUCGAUCCCAUUAGAACUUUGUAGUUAAGUGCGUUUGGGAUAGAGUAGUACUAGUGUGGGUGACCUCCCAAGAAUUUCUAGUGUUUUAC
rnacentral:rRNA from 1 species